AUUGAACGCUGGCGGCAGGCCUAACACAUGCAAGUCGAACGGAGCGGCGGACGGGUGAGUAAUGCCUAGGAAUCUGCCUGGUAGUGGGGGAUAACGUCCGGAAACGGGAACUAAUACCGCAUACUAUCAGAGCAGCCUAGGUCGGAUUAGCUAGGUGGUGGGGUAAAGGCCUACCAAGGCGACGAUCCGGAACUGGGCUGAGAGGAUGAUCAGUCACACGGGAACUGAGACACGGUCCAGACUACUACGGGAGGAAGCAGUGGGGAAUAUUGGACAAUGGGCGAAAGCCUGAUCCAGCCAUGCCGCGUGUGUGAAGAAGGUCUUCGGAUUGUAAAGCACUUUUAGUUGGGAGGCGUUACCAACAGAAUAAGCACCGGCUAACUACGUGCCAGCAGCCGCGGUAAUAC
rnacentral:rRNA from 1 species